AAGAAAGAAACGGAUGGGGAGCAUCUGAACUUAAAUAGUUUGGGCCUAUGGUGGAUAUACAAAAAUUAGACAUCCUAAAGUUCCCACAUGAAGAGUAAGGUAGAUUUAGAGAUGAUUUUAAAAUUUCUGGCUUGAGAAAGACUGUGUCUUCCAUUACUGAAAUUGAGAAGACAGGAGAAAAAGCAGUAUUGGGGGAAUAACAUUGAGUAUUCUUUUGGACUUGAGAAGUAUGAGGUGGCUGUUGGCUAGGCUCCGCCCUUCAGUACUGACUGGCUAUGCGGGACUAGGUUGGGUCUUACAGUCUAGGCUCCGCACUUCGGAACUAGUGUCAGCCCUUAGGUCUUAGCUGGGCUAGUCCGGGCUAGGGCCAGUACAAUCAUAUUGAUCCGGGCCUUGGGGAAGUCCCGGUCUCCACCAGAGUGCCUUCCAGGAAAGGACCCAUCAGGGAGCAUCCUGGCCUAGGAGCCAGAGGUUGAAAGGGCUGCUGAGUCUCAAGGAGAGGUGCCUGUGGAAAUCACUGACACAGGCUGGGUUCCUUGGGCCUGCGGGAAGAACAGGUAUUGCUUAGGGGCUGGGUCUUUGGGGCGAGGUUCCGCCCUCCAGACAGGGUUUGGCUGUUCGGGGCUGGGCUCUUUGGGGCUGGGCUCCCCAGUCAGGACUGGCUACAGCUGUUGGGGUUAGGGCUCAGCUGGGCUCUGCCAGGCUCCGCUCCGCCUUUCGGGACUAGUUUGUGUGUUUUUUAAAGAAGUGCGAGGUGGCCUCAGUCUAUCGCUAAAUCCUCCUCACAAUCUGACUCCUACCAAAGUGCCAGGCUCUUUUCUCUCCAUUUUUUAACAUAAUCUUGUAAAAAUCAGGUGUCAGCAUUCUACUUAUUUUUUGAGAAAUCACAAUUGAACUUGCCUGAGUUACCCAGAACAUCUUCCUUCUGAGCUCUCUUAAGAUUUAAUAAGGUCACGAAUGUGUGUGUACUAGUAUGUGCCUCACUUUAAGAACAGAAGAAGGCCUCCAUAUCUUAAGAAAAAUGAUAAAACAUACCAGACAGGUAAAGUUGUUUACCUUGGCAGACUGGUUUUGCAGGGGAAUUACUAACUUUUUAACUAUCUUUAUAUUGUUUUGUUUCAAAGACCUGGGUAUUAUUUUUGUAAAUAAAGGUUUUUAAUUUAAAGAUAAAUAAUCAAUGUAAAGGUGUUUCCAGAAACCCUGGUUUUCAUCAGCUACUUUGAAAAAUAGUCAAUGAAACGAACAGAACAGAAUUACUACUUAUGUAAUUAUGUAAGUACAUACUUGUAAUUAUGUAAAAUGUGAUUGUUCUUUUCUUUUGCUGUCUGACUUCUUAUUUUCUUGAUAGGUUUUACAGCUCUUUAAAAGAUUGUACAGUACCAGACAACAAGUUUUUAAAAAUGAUAUCAGAGCAUUAGAAGCAGCCAGAAUAAAAAUAAAUGAAGAAUUCAAAAAUAAUAAAAAUGAAGCUUCUUCUAAGAAAAUAGAAGAGCUAAUAAAAAUAGGUUCUGAUGUGGAAUUGUUGCUCAGAACAUCUGUUGUACAAGGUAUUCACACAGACCACAAUACAUGAGAAUUGGCUCAUGCUGUUUAUGGAGGCCAAGAAGUUCCACAAUCUGCCAUAUCCAAGCUGGAGAACCAGGAAAGCCUGUGGUGUAAUUCAGCUCCAGUCUGAAGGCCUGCGAGGGAAGAGGUCUGAAGACUUGAAUCUAGGACAAAUCUGGAAGCUUGGCAGCAAGCAAAGAAACUAAAACUGGAUAAGAGGUGGGAUGAAGGUAAAAAAUGAUGUCGUCAUCUGUAUCUGCCUUUCUGAGGGGAUCGCUGGACGUGGUAUUGAGAAGACAGGGUUCUGUGUCCCUGCCAGUGCACAUGUCACACUGAAAUCUGCUGAGAUAAAACAACUGGACAAGGACAAGAUAGUGUGUCAUCUGAGGCCAAAACAGGAUUGUGGGGUCCUCAUCUGCAAUAGACACGCACCAGAAAUGUAAAGGCAAGUGCAGUGAUAUUGCAUCAGAUGACGCUCCAACCAACUGAGCUAACUAGCCUGUUUCCAUUCCCCCGCACCAACUGAUGGGAAAUAGUAUAUAAAGAGGGCUGAAAAUAGAGAAAAUGAAGAAAGAA